AUUGAACGCUGGCGGCAGGCCUAACACAUGCAAGUCGAACGAGUGGCGGACGGGUGAGUAAUGUCUGGGAAACUGCCUGAUGGAGGGGGAUAACUACUGGAAACGGUAGCUAAUACCGCAUACCAUCGGAUUUGCCCAGAUGGGAUUAGCUAGUGGGUGGGGGAAAGGCUCACCUAGGCGACGAUCCCUAGCUGGUCUGAGAGGCUGACGAGCAACACGGGAACGGAGAAAGGGUCAAGAGUCCUACGGGAGGCGGCAGGGGGGAAUAGUGCACAAGGGGGGCAAGACUGAUGCAGACAUGCCGCGUGUGUGAAGAAGGCCUUCGGGUUGUAAAGUAAUUUCAGCGGGGAGGCGUUACCCGCAGAAGAAGCAACGGCUAACUCCGUGCCAGCAGCCGCGGUAAUUC
rnacentral:rRNA from 1 species